rnacentral:rRNA from 1 species
GAUGAACGCUGGCGGCGUGCCUAAUACAUGCAAGUCGAGCGAACGGACGAGAAGCUUGCUUCUCUGAUAUUAGCGGCGGACGGGUGAGUAACACGUGGAUAACCUACCUAUAAGACUGGGAUAACUUCGGGAAACCGGAGCUAAUACCGGAUAAUAUUUUGAACCGCAUGGUUCAAAAGUGAAAGACGGUCUUGCUGUCACUUAUAGAUGGAUCCGCGCUGCAUUAGCUAGUUGGUAAGGUAACGGCUUACCAAGGCAACGAUGCAUAGCCGACCUGAGAGGGUGAUCGGCCACACUGGAACUGAGACACGGUCCAGACUCCUACGGGAGGCAGCAGUAGGGAAUCUUCCGCAAUGGGCGAAAGCCUGACGGAGCAACGCCGCGUGAGUGAUGAAGGUCUUCGGAUCGUAAAACUCUGUUAUUAGGGAAGAACAUAUGUGUAAGUAACUGUGCACAUCUUGUCGGUACCUAAUCAGAAAGCCACGGCUAACUACGUG